ACUUGAGUCACUGCUCGUGAGGCUGACUUGCAAAUAUUAUUAAGUUUCGAUUCCGACUGACCAGAAACACUUGAUGAUCCUACGAAAGAUAGCAAAUCAAAUCAUCCGUCUGUUAUUUUUGCAGUGAGUCAGUGAAUCGUAACAAAUGAAUUGUCAGAGUUUGUGGUGUUUUAGAUGCUGCAGAUGCCGCGGCAGUGCAUAGGCUCAAACCGUGCCAUCUCCCUGGGCACUGGCUUCCCUCAGGUCUCUGUCCUGAGUCCUGGUCCACUACUAACCACAUUGUGAAGCGUGCGGACGACACAACAGCAGUGGGCCUCGUCCGUGACAACGACGACAUGGACUCCAGGGAGAAGGUGAAACAUCUGGUCGACUGGUGCCGAACCAACAACCUGGUCUGGAACGUCGACAAGACCAAGGAGAGCAUCGUUGACUUCAGGAAGCACCAGUCCAGCCACGCUAAACUCUUCACCAACAGCACAGCUGUGGAGACGAAGCCUGCAGUGCCUCGGACUGGAAGUCUCUCCAGAGAAUGGUGAGGACGGCGGGAAAGAUCAUCAGUACUCCUAUCCAGGAGAUCGCAAAAAGCCACUGCCUGACCAGGACUCAGAAAAUCUGCAAAGACUCCUCCCACCCCCACCAAGGACUGUUUUCACUGCUGGACUCUAGAAAGAAGUUCCGCAGCCUCCGAUGCAGAACCUUUAGGAUCUGUAACAGCUUGAACGCAUCCUAAUAAUCCCCUCAUUCUCCCCCAGAAUGGAUUAACUCGCUGGAAUAUAAACCUGCAUGCGUAUGCAAAAGUGCAAUAUAUUUAUCUGUACAAUAAUCUGUACAGAUAAAUAUAGGGGCGGUAUAGCUCGGUUGGUAGAGUGGCCGUGCCAGCAACUUGUGGGUUGCAGGUUUGAUUCCCGCUUCCGCCAUCCUAGUCACUGCCGUUGUGUCCUUGGGCAAGACACUUUACCCACCUGCUCCCGGUGCCACCCACACUGGUUUAAAUGUAACUUAGAUGUUGGGUAUCACUAUGUAAAGUGCUUUGAGUCACUAGAGAAAAGCGCUAUAUAAAUAUAAUUCACUUCACUUCACUUAAUCUACCGUAUUUCCUUGGAUUGCCGCCGGGGCGCUAAUUAAUUUAAAACGUUUUCUCACUCCUGCGCUUACCAAAGGCAAGCGGUAAAAAUUGGAGUGUAAUGUAAGGAUACCAUCAUGAAAAGCACAUUUAAUUAAAAAAACGUUAUUACGGUUAUUAUUUUCAGCACCGAAGGCUUGGAACAACCUACAAUCGAAUAUUCAACUUAAAACCCUUGUUACAUUAAAUGAGUUUAAAGCUUCUGUGAAAGGAUUGCAGUCUACUUUUUCUGUAUGCACAUUUGUCAUAAGAGCAAGUUUUAAUGUUGUAAAUGUGAUGUUUUAUGUGUUGUUUACUGUUUUUAAUGUAACCUUGCUGCUGCCCUCUUGGCCAGGUCUCCCUUGGAAAAGAGAUCUUUGAUCUCAAUGG